AAUUAUAAUAAUAAAGUACCUUGAGGAUAUAAGUCAUUGAUACAACUGAUAUCAUAUUUGUUUAUUGUGUAUGAACAACAUAUAUUAUUGUCCCUGUAAACCCUGUCAACCACAAUUACCAGGUAUUUAUUGUUCCAGACAUCCAACUAUAACUAGCAUAAAGAGAAGAUUAGCAUAUAUAUCCAAAAGAAUUAUCAGUACUUUGAAGAAGCAAAAGUUUUAUCUUG
rnacentral:lncRNA from 1 species